UUCCAGACUCCUACGGGAGGCAGCAGUGGGGAAUAUUGCACAAUGGGGGAAACCCUGAUGCAGCGACGCCGCGUGAAGGAAGAAGUAUUUCGGUAUGUAAACUUCUAUCAGUAGGGAAGAAAAUGACGGUACCUGACUAAGAAGCCCCGGCUAACUACGUGCCAGCAGCCGCGGUAAUACGUAGGGGGCAAGCGUUAUCCGGAUUUACUGGGUGUAAAGGGGGCGCAGACGGCGAUGCAAGCCAGGAGUGAAAGCCCGGGGCCCAACCCCGGGACUGCUCUUGGAACUGCGUGGCUGGAGUGCAGGAGGGGCAGGCGGAAUUCCUGGUGUAGCGGUGAAAUGCGUAGAUAUCAGGAGGAACACCGGUGGCGAAGGCGGCCUGCUGGACUGCAACUGACGUUGAGGCCCGAAAGCGUGGGGAGCAAACAGGAUUAGAUACCCUAGUA
rnacentral:rRNA from 1 species